UGAACUUUUUGUGCCAUUUCACGGCUGAUCAUCCAUUUAGCAGGGGAGAGAAUAUUCUCAGGACUGUUCCCCCAUUAUGCAGGGCUGUUCACAAGUGAGCAUGCGUAUUUUUCUACAGACGUGGUCAUACCUGGAUCUUACAUGAUCAGACCUGAGUGAAACAUGUUCAUGCCUGUCGCAGACAUGAUAACGACUGACUGAAAACUUGACAAAUUCAUAUUUAUUUAUACAUUACUUCUUAUCUUGACUAAUUGGUCUUUCUUGUUAAAAAUUUCACUUUUUCAGAUUUUGUUUGAAAUGAGCUUAUCCAAAUUUACCUCCUCGAGUCAAAUAUCUUCAAAUGAAGAAAAUUAUGUCGCAUCUACAUCCCAAAAAAGAGGACUUCAGGAAACAGAGAAAAGUAUCCACACGCCCCGCUACCAACGACUCCCUGCUGGCAAUUAAAGAAAGAUGCAUCUAACCGCUACAGUAAAUUUUCAACAAAAAACUUCACCAAUGUCAAAAAAAAUCUGAAAAAAAAACUUAAAAUUUGAAGUAAAGUGUCACAUUAUCAAGCUGAGUUUAUGAUGUUGUUACAAUUUAACCAUUUCUUUAA